GGCAUUUAAUAAUUUUCCUUCCUCUAACACUUUUUAUUAGAAACUAUUUAAAACUCUUCUCAUUGCAAGAUAAUAACAGUAAUAAUGAUAAUGUCUAAAAAUACAUGAGCGUAGAUUUGCCAAAACUUCUUCAAUCCGCAUUUUUUGUCCCUUGCUAAUGCUUCACACAACCAAGGCACUUCUUCACUGAACUUUGCAUUAAAACUUCCUCCUCCCUCCCCACCCCACGGAAAGGAACAAUGGUCUGAGACACUUUAUUCUCCACUGACGAGAACUAUGGUCUCAGACACUUUAUUUUGGGUGCUAACAGCUGUCUCAAGACCUCGAAACUGCCGAGCAAGGAAGAGGCAUUUUCAGCUCCUCUUGGCAGCCAGUUCCCGCCUUCAUCCUUCCCAACACCCAGCAUCUUUCCUGUGCUUUUAACCAUGUCCCUCGAUGGUUUAUGGCUCCCGGGAGAGCUUCCAAACCAGUGGGAACUUCCCCAAGAGGCUCAGGCUGCAGUGCAGUGACACUGGGGACAAAGGUCCCGCUCGGGCUCGCUGCCACCAGCAUCGCCCUUCCCCGAGCAAGGCCGAGACCCUGCACCCACAAAGAGCCCCCCGCCACCCCCGGGCUGCAAAGCGAGGGAUGCCCUGGCGUUGAAGCAGCAGCAACAACACAGAGCUGAAGGCAGUAACGAUCUACGGCAACGCUUAUCAGCCCGAAAUAAAGAGCAGGACACAGGCAAUCAAGCCAGACAAUGAGAGUAGCCCGGUGGAGAUAUCCAUCUGCUCCGCACCCAAACUGGACACUCCACCCUGGGAGAUGCGAUCAGAAGACACUCAGAGCCAUUCACAUGUGAAAGGACCCUGCCCCGUCGACCAUUGACUCAGCUGGACGGAUCCGGAAAAUCUAUUCACCCACACAUCUAGGCUCUUUGUUGGACUGUGCCCAUCCCGGGUUUUGCCUCAGGAUACAAAAAUCCUUAUAAAAACCCCGGACCGCAGUCCCUCCUUUGUGGAUUUGGGAAAAUCUGUACCCCUGGGUGCAGACCCCUGUCCACCCGGCGCUGCGCUGAUUUAUUUAUUGUGGUUUUUUCUCUCGUUGCUUAUGAUUGGAAUUGUUUUAUAAUAAAUUGCUUUUUAUAUUAACCUUAUUUUGCUAUUGCGUUUAUAACAAAAGGGAUGGUAAUGCUCCCUUGGCAGAAAAACAUGAUGAUUCUUCCCAGGGUCUCAGCUGUUGCCUGUGGUGUACAGACCUUCCCUGAAGCACCUGAAGCUCAGCUCCGCGCAAAGCGUGGUGGCUCUGCCUUGUCUUUCCACGCUUGUCACGACUUUGUCAAAGAUGAAGUGCUCACAGAUACAAAACACAACAUGAGAGACUUCACUCACAAAGUGUCAGCAAAGCUUCAUCACCUUCCCUACCAAACCCAGCAGGGUUUCCCCUCUGGUCUUGGAACAACGCUGCCUGAACACAGAGCGCCCAGCAUCCGAGGGGGUUGUGAUAAAUGGAAAUGAUUCGUGCUAACUAAAUUGUAACUGUUUGGAAAGUUGUUAUUAUAAAGCAAGAAAGGGAAUUAGUGUUAUAAGGCAGAUGAACCCCUUUACAGGUGUUACAUGUUAAAAAGAGGAUACAGGAAUUAGUUUUAAGAUAAGUAAUGUCUCAAGAGAAAAUCGACCUUGAAAUGGACAAAGCUGGAAUGAAUUCAAGCAUAGGGCCUGAAAUUAUAAAAUGUAAGACUAAUUAGUGGAAUAUAAUGCUUACUUGCAUAACACAAUGCUUAAUACACACAUGCAACCUGUAAGGGUAUCCAGAGGACAACAAGGAUGAGCAUAAGCCUUCACCCCAAGACCACCAAAACAAGACUGAAGACCCCCUAGCAACAAGUGAAGCAUGUGCCGUGAAGUAUAGGGAUGUAGAAUUUCAGAAUUGAAAGUGGGAGGAAACUUACAGGAAACAUAAAUUAAUAUGUAUAAGCAUAUAGUAUAUAAAUUUAGUUUGAAUUGCUUUGUUUUGUAUGUGAGCUAGGGUGACAAGCCCUCUCCAUACCCCAGUCAGUUUUGCUUAUGUUUUAAUCAUACUUAAUUACUGGCAAAUUACAUACAUAAAUUGCAUUCUUUUACUAAAUUGUAUUCUUUUACACCAAAUUGCUAUUCAAUUCAAUAAAUUGUAUUAUUUUCCUAAAUUGUGUUCAUCUAUACCAAAUUGCUAUUCAAUUCACUAAAUUGUAUUGAUUUUCAAUUAAACUGCUGUUAAUUCAA